UGCCUGCGUAUGUAAUGGUGGCUGAUGG
rnacentral:piRNA from 2 species